rnacentral:tRNA from 1 species
AUCGGUUUAGCAUAAAUAAAUGUGUGGGAUUGUAAAUCCUAAGAUGGUUUGACCAGCCGGGA